rnacentral:rRNA from 1 species
AUUGAACGCUGGCGGCAUGCUUUACACAUGCAAGUCGAACGGUAACAGGCCUUCGGGUGCUGACGAGCGGCGAACGGGGGCGUAAUGCAUCGGAAUGUAUCCAGUGGUUGGGGAUAACGCAGCGAAAGCUGUGCUAAUACUUCAUGUGAUCUGAGGUUGAAAGCGGGGGACCGCGCAGCAAUGUUUGGCCUCGCGCCUUUGGAGUGGCCGAUGUCGGAUUAGCUAGUUGGUGGGGUAAAGGCCUACCAAGGCGACGAUGCGUAGCUGGUCUGAGAGGACGACCAGCCACACUGGAACUGAGACACGGCCCAGACUCCUACGGGAGGCAGCAGUGGGGAAUCUUCGGCAAUGGGCGCAAGCCUGAUCCAGCAAUGCCGCGUGCGGGAAGAAGGCCUUCGGAUUGUAAACCGCUUUUAGCAGGGACGAAACGGUGUCCGCUAAUACCGGGCGCUAAUGACGGUACCUGCAGAGUAAGCACCGGCUAACUACGUG